rnacentral:rRNA from 1 species
UGGGGAAUCUUGGACAAUGGGCGAAAGCCUGAUGCAGCCAUGCCGCGUGUGUGAUGAAGGCCUUCGGGUUGUAAACCCCUUUCGGCGAGGACGAAGGUGGUGAGCUUAAUACUGUCAUCGAAUGACCUUACUCCUACAAGAAGCACCGGCUAACUCCGUG